UACGGAGGGAGCUAGCGUUGUUCGGAAUUACUGGGCGUAAAGCGCGCGUAGGCGGCCUUGCAAGUUAGAGGUGAAAGCCCGGAGCUCAACUCCGGAACUGCCUUUAAAACUGCAUAGCUUGAAUCCGGGAGAGGUGAGUGGAAUUCCGAGUGUAGAGGUGAAAUUCGUAGAUAUUCGGAAGAACACCAGUGGCGAAGGCGGCUCACUGGACCGGUAUUGACGCUGAGGUGCGAAAAGCGUGGGGAGCAAACAGG
rnacentral:rRNA from 1 species